AAAAACCGAGACAAUCAAAGAGACCAGAUUGUAGAGCGCCCGAGAAGAGAAUUCUUGGGUAAGGUCAAGUAGAAAAGGGCGCACGGUGAAUGCCUAGGCACUAACAGCCGAUGAAGGACGUGACGAACUACGAAAAGCUUCGGGGAGCGGUAAGUACGCAGUGAUCCGGAGAUGUCCGAAUGGGGGAACCCAAUGCAGCGAUGCAUUAUUGGUUGAUGAAUAGAUAGUCAAUCAAAGGAAGACGCAGUGAACUGAAACAUCUAAGUAGCUGCAGGAAGAGAAAGAAAAAUCGAUUUCCUUAGUAGCGGCGAGCGAAGAGGAAAGAGCCCAAACCAAGUGAUUUAUCAUUUGGGGUUGUAGGACUGCAAAGUGGUAGCGUAAGCGAUAGUUGAAUUAUCUGGGAAGGUAAGCCAGAGAGGGUGAGAGCCCCGUAAGCGAAAUUGCGAGCGCGCCUAGCAGAAUCCUGAGUAGGCCGGGACACGAGGAAUCCCGGUUGAAGCCGCGAGGACCAUCUCGCAAGGCUAAAUACUAGUUAGUGACCGAUAGUGAACCAGUACCGUGAGGGAAAGGUGAAAAGAACCCCGGAAGGGGAGUGAAAGAGAACCUGAAACCGUGUGUCUACAAGUAGUCAAAGCACAUUAAAGUGCGAUGGCGUGCCUUUUGUAGAAUGAACCGGCGAGUUACGUUAUCUAGUGAGGUUAAGUCAGAAAAGAUGGAGUUGGAGCGAAAGUGAGUCUGAAUAGGGCGAAGAGUUAGGUGACGUAGUCCUGAAACUAAGUGACUUAUUCAUGGUUAGGCUGAAGGUGUGGUAAAAUGCUCUGGAGGGUUGAACCUAUGUAAGUUAAAUAUUGCGGGGAUGAGCUGUGGGUAGCGGUGAAAUUUCUAACGAACUUGGAGAUAGCUGGUUCUCUUCGAAAUAGCUUUAGGGCUAGCUUCGUGGAGAGGAUAAUGGAGGUAGAGCUCUGUUUGGACUAGGGGCCCGUCAGGGGUUACUGAAUCCAGAUAAACUGCGAAUUCCAUAUAUCCAUACACGGGAGUCAGACUGCGAGUGAUAAGAUCCGUAGUCGAAAGGGAAACAGCCCAGAUCUCCAGUUAAGGUCCCCAAAUCUAUGCUAAGUGGAAAAGGAUGUGGAGUUGCGUAGACAACUAGGACGUUGGCUCAGAAGCAGCCAUCAUUCAAAGAGUGCGUAAUAGCUCACUAGUCGAGUGGCGCUGCGCCGAAAAUUUACCGGGGCUAAGCAUAGUACCGAAACUGUGGAUGCAUCGAAAGAUGCGUGGUAGGAGAGCGUUCUAAGUGCGGCGAAGGUUAACCGAGAGGAUAAUUGGAGCGCUUAGAAGUGAGAAUGCCGGUAUGAGUAGCGAAAGACAGGUGAGAAUCCUGUCCGCCGAAAGACUAAGGUUUCCUGGGGCAGGCUCGUCCGCCCAGGGUAAGUCGGGACCUAAGGCAAGGCCGAGAGGCGUAGUCGAUGGAUAACAGGUAGAAAUUCCUGUACUGUGUUUAAUCGUUAUGAGCGAUGGAGGGACGCAGGAGGUGAAACACGCAUCGAGCUGGAUCGAUGUUCAAGCAACAAGUGCGGUUAAGAGUCAAAUGCUUCUAACCAGCAACACGAGUUGUGAUGAGUAGCGAAGUAAUAGUAGCGAAGGUGAUGUAAUCACCCUGCCAAGAAAAGCUUCUAGCCAGAGAGGGCACACCCGUACCGCAAACCGACACAGGUAGUCGAGUGGAGAACACUAAGGUGAGCGAGAGAACUCUCGUUAAGGAACUCGGCAAAAUGACCCCGUAACUUCGGAAGAAGGGGUGCUGGCCUCGAGAGUGGUUAGCCGCAGUGAAUAGGCCCAAACAACUGUUUAUCAAAAACACAGGUCUCUGCAAAAUUGUAAGAUGACGUAUAGAGGAUGACACCUGCUUGGUGCUGGAAGGUUAAGAGGAGAGCUUAGUGUAAGUGAAGGUUUGAAUUUUAGGUCUAGUAAAUGGUGGCCGUUAUUAUUACUGGUUUUAAGGUAGUGAAAUUUUUUGUUGGGUUAGUUUUGAUUGUUAUGAAAGGUGUAAUGAUUUGGGUUUUGUUUUAUUGAGAGACUUGGUGGAAUUUUUAUUUUUGUUAAGAUGCGGGUUUUCCGUGAUAGGACGGAAAGGUUCCAUGGAGCUUUACUGUAGGUUGGUAUUGAGUAUUUUUUUAACAUGUACAGGAUAGGUAGGAGGUAAGGAAGGUAGGGUGGUAGUUUUGCUGGAGGUAAUGUUGGGAUAUUACUUUUGUUUUGAGGAUGGUUUAACUUUGAUUUGUUAGCUAGGUUAGGGACAGUGUCAGGUGGGCAGUUUGACUGGGGCGGUCGCCUCUUAAAGUGUAACGGAGGCGCUCAAAGGUUCCCUCAGAAUGGUUGGAAAUCAUUCGCAGAGUGUAAAGGUAUAAGGGAGCUUGACUGCGAGAGAAACAGCUCGAGCAGGGACGAAAGUCGGACUUAGUGAUCUGGUGGUACCGUAUGGAAGGGCCAUCACUCAACGGAUAAAAGCUACCCUGGGGAUAACAGGCUUAUCUCCCCCAAGAGUUCACAUCGACGGGGAGGUUUGGCACCUCGAUGUCGGCUCGUCGCAUCCUGGGGCUGAAGUCGGUCCCAAGGGUUGGGCUGUUCGCCCAUUAAAGCGGCACGCGAGCUGGGUUCAGAACGUCGUGAGACAGUUCGGUCCCUAUCCGUCGUGGGCGUAGGAAAUUUGAGAGGAGCUGUCCUUAGUACGAGAGGACCGGGAUGGACGCACCGCUGGUGUACCAGUUGUUCCGCCAGGAGCAUCGCUGGGUAGCUAUGUGCGGAAGGGAUAAGCGCUGAAAGCAUCUAAGUGCGAAGCCCCCCUCAAGAUGAGAUCUCCUUUGCAAUAGCAGUAAGACUCCUCAAAGACGAUGAGGUAGAUAGGCUGGGAGUGGAAGUUCUGUGAAGAAUGGAGCGGACCAGUACUAAUCAGUCGAGGACUUGACCAAAAGCGAAGCAAACUGUAAGGUUUUUUGCGAGAGAUUAUGUUUAGUUUUGAGCGUAGUAGCUCAAAAGAGUACGGUGGCGA
rnacentral:rRNA from 1 species